GACGAACGCUGGCGGCGUGCUUAACACAUGCAAGUCGAACGGAAAGGCCCUGCUUUUGUGGGGUGCUCGAGUGGCGAACGGGUGAGUAACACGUGAGUAACCUGCCCUUGACUUUGGGAUAACUUCAGGAAACUGGGGCUAAUACCGGAUAGGAGCUCCUGCUGCAUGGUGGGGGUUGGAAAGUUUCGGCGGUUGGGGAUGGACUCGCGGCUUAUCAGCUUGUUGGUGGGGUAGUGGCUUACCAAGGCUUUGACGGGUAGCCGGCCUGAGAGGGUGACCGGCCACAUUGGGACUGAGAUACGGCCCAGACUCCUACGGGAGGCAGCAGUGGGGAAUAUUGCACAAUGGGCGGAAGCCUGAUGCAGCAACGCCGCGUGCGGGAUGACGGCCUUCGGGUUGUAAACCGCUUUCGCCUGUGACGAAGCGUGAGUGACAGUAAUGGGUAAAGAAGCACCGGCUAACUACGUG
rnacentral:rRNA from 1 species